UAAAAAAUCCUCCAAAGUUAA
rnacentral:piRNA from 1 species